GUAGGUGGCAAGCGUUGUCGGAAUUAUUGGGCGUAAAGCGCGCGCAGGGCGGUCCUUUAAGUCUGAUGUGAAAGCCCACGGCUCAACCGUGGAGGGUCAUUGGAAACUGGGGGACUUGAGUACAGAAGAGGAAAGCGGAAUUCCACGUGUAGCGGUGAAAUGCGUAGAGAUGUGGAGGAACACCAGUGGCGAAGGCGGCUUUCUGGUCUGUAACCGACGCUGAGGCGCGAAAGCGUGGGGAGCAAACAGGAUUAGAUACCCUGGUAGUCCACGCCGUAAACGAUGAGUGCUAAGUGUUAGGGGGUUUCCGCCCCUUAGUGCUGCAGCUAACGCAUUAAGCACUCCGCCUGGGGAGUACGGCCGCAAGGCUG
rnacentral:rRNA from 1 species